rnacentral:rRNA from 1 species
GGUGAACUGAAACAUCUAAGUAGCCGGAGGAAAAGGAAUCAACAGAGAUACCCCUAGUAGCGGCGAGCGAACGGGGCAGAGCCCAAACCGGGAUGGGAAACCAAUCCGGGGUUGUGGACUGCUAUCAAAUGCAUGAGUGAAGCAGAAUGAGCUGGGAAGCUCAGCCAGAGAGAGUGAGAGCCUCGUAGGCGUAAGCGAAUGCAUGGAGCAGGAUCCGGAGUACCACGGGACACGAGAAACCCUGUGGGAAGCUGGGGGGACCACCCUCCAAGGCGAAACACUGAUAUGGACCGAUAGCGCAUAGUACCGUGAGGGAAAGGUGAAAAGAACCCCGGGAGGGGAAUGAAAGAGAACCUGAAACCGUAUGUCUACAAGCAGUCGAAGACCUUUAUAUGGUCGACGGCGUGCCUAUUGAAGAAUGAACCGGCGAGUUACUUCAGCUAGCGAGGUUAAGCAGAAAAUGCGGAGCCGCAGCGAAAGCGAGUCUGAACAGGGCGUAUAGUUAGUUGGAGUAGACCCGAAACCACAGUGAUCUACCCAUGUCCAGGUUGAAGCACAGGUAAAAAUGUGUGGAGGACCGAACCAGUGAGCGUUGAAAAGCUUUUGGAUGAGAUGUGGGUAGGGGUGAAAUGCCAAUCGAACGUGGAGAUAGCUGGUUCUCCCCGAAAUAGCUUUAGGGCUAGCCUCAUGGCGAGAGUACAGGCGGUAGAGCACUGAACGGGGUAGGGGCCUAUCCGGCUACUGAACCUAAUCAAACUGCGAAUGGCUGUACUUAUCCAUGGGAGUCAGACUGUGAGUAAUAAGGCCCAUAGUCAAGAGGGAAACAGCCCAGACCAACAGCUAAGGUCCCCAAUGCCGUACUAAGUGGCGAAGGAUGUGGAAUUUCGAAAACAACCAGGAUGUUGGCUCAGAAGCAGCCACCAUUAAAAGAGUGCGUAAUAGCUCACUGGUCGAGAGACUCUGCGCCGAAGAUGUCCGGGGCUAAAGUACGGAACCGAAGCUUUGGCAAUUAACAUAAGUUAAUUGGGUAGGGGAGCGUUCCUGCAUGGGAGAAGCCUGACCGGAAGGACAGGUGGACAGGCAGGAAGAGAGAAUGCCGGUAUGAGUAGCGAAAAGAAGGGUGAGAAUCCCUUCCACCGAAAGCCUAAGGGUUCCUGGGCAACGAUCGUCGUCCCAGGGUAAGUCGGGACCUAAUCCGAGGCGGAGACGCGUAGGAGAUGGACAACAGGUUGAAAUUCCUGUACUGGCUGAGGCCGUUUGAGCGAAGGAGUGACACAGGAAGGAAGGCGCGCGUGCGAUUGGAAGAGCACGUCCAAGCAGGUAGGUCGGGAGACAGGCAAAUCCGUUUCCCGUAAGGCCGAGAUGCGAUGGGGAGCUUCUGGAGACAGAAGCGAAGGGGCUGGCACUAAACUGUCGAGAAAAGCUUCUAGUGAGGACUCAGGCACCCGUACCGCAAACCGACACAGGUAGGCAGGAGAGAAUUCUAAGGUGCGCGGGAAAACCCUCGUUAAGGAACUCGGCAAAAUAUAUCCGUAACUUCGGGAAAAGGAUAACCCAGCGUACGUGAAGUGCAGAAGCGCAUGGAGCGGAGAUGGGUGGCAGAAGAGAGGCCCAAGCGACUGUUUACCACAAACACAGGCGUCUGCUAAAGCGAAAGCUGAUGUAUAGAUGCUGACACCUGCCCGGUGCUGGAAGGUUAAGAGGAAGUGUUAGCGCAAGCGAAGCAGUGAAUUGAAGCCCCAGUAAACGGCGGCCGUAACUAUAACGGUCCUAAGGUAGCGAAAUUCCUUGUCGGGUAAGUUCCGACCCGCACGAAAGGUGUAACGAUUUGGGCACUGUCUCAACGAGGGACCCGGUGAAAUUGAAGUACCUGUGAAGAUGCAGGUUACCCGCGACUGGACAGAAAGACCCCAUGGAGCUUUACUGUAACCUGAGAUUGGAUUCCGGUAAGAGAUGUACAGGAUAGUUGGGAGGCUGAGAAGUGAGUACGCCAGUAUUCACGGAGCCGCUGGUGGGAUACCAACCUUGUUUUAUUGGAAUUCUAACGAGAAGCGUAACGAGCUUGCGGACAGUCUCAGGCGGGCAGUUUGACUGGGGCGGUCGCCUCCGAAAGAG